rnacentral:rRNA from 1 species
UACGAAGGGGGCUAGCGUUGUUCGGAUUUACUGGGCGUAAAGCGCACGUAGGCGGAUCGUUAAGUCGGGGGUGAAAUCCUGGAGCUCAACUCCAGAACUGCCUUCGAUACUGGCGAUCUAGAGUCCGGAAGAGGUGAGUGGAACUCCUAGUGUAGAGGUGGAAUUCGUAGAUAUUAGGAGGAACACCAGUGGCGAAGGCGGU